rfam:Picea glauca, whole genome shotgun sequence.
AUGUAUAUGCCUACAACGUAACAUUAAUGCACCAGAUCCCAUUAGAACUCCAUAGUUAAACGCACUCAGGCUAGAGUAGUACUAGGAUGGGUGACCACCCAGGAAGUCCUAGUGUUUUACAUG